CCUACGGGAGGCAGCAGUAGGGAAUAUUGCUCAAUGGGGGAAACCCUGAAGUAGCAACGCCGCGUGCAGGAUGAAGGUUUUCGGAUUUUAAACUUCUUUUGUUAGAGAAGAUAAUUACGGUAUCUAACGAAUAAGCACCGGCUAACUCCGUGCCAGCAGCCGCGGUAAUACGGAGGGUGCAAGCGUUACUCGGAAUCACUGGGCGUAAAGAGCGCGUAGGCGGGAUAGCAAGUCAGAUGUGAAAUCCUAUGGCUUAACCAUAGAACUGCAUUUGAAACUGUCAUUCUAGAGUAUGGGAGAGGUAGGUGGAAUUCGUGGUGUAGCGGUAAAAUGCGUAGAGAUCAAGAAGAAUACUCAUUGCGAAGGCGACCUGCUAGAACAUAACUGACGCUGAAGCGCGAAAGCGUGGGGAGCAAACAGGAUUAGAUACCCCAGUAGUC
rnacentral:rRNA from 1 species